AGUUAACGCUGGCCCUAGGCCUAACACAUACAAGUCGAACUGCAGCACAGUAAGAUCUUGCUCUUACGGGUUGCGAGUAGCGGAGGGGUUCUUAAUACAUCGGAAUCUACUUUUUCAUGUGAGAUAACGUACAAAAACUUACUCUAAUACCCCAUACCAACUACGGUUGAAAGCAUAGGAGCCUCUGACUUUACGCGAGUCAAUGAACCUAGGUGGGAUUAGCUAAUUGAGGGGGUAAAGGCCCACCAAGUCGACGAUCCGUAGCUGGCCUGCGAGGAUGAUGAGCCACACUGGAACUGAGACACGCGCAAGACUCCUACGGGAGGCAGCAGUGGGGAAUAUUGGAGGAUGGGCGCAAGUCUGAUCGAGCCAUACCGAGUGGGUGAAGAAGGCCUUCGGGUUGUACAGACCUUUUGUUGGGAAAGAAAAGCAGCAGGUUAAUACCCAGCUGUUCUGACGGUACACAAAGAAUAAGCACCGGCUAACUUCGUG
rnacentral:rRNA from 1 species